ACCUUGGGAACCUCUCGGGGUUACAGCCUUGCUGAAUUAUUCACCCUUGUCUUUUGCGUACUUCUUGUUUCCUUGGUGGGUUCGCCCACCACUAGGACAAACAUAAACCUUUUGUAAUUGCAAUCAGCGUCAGUAACAAAUUAAUAAUUACAACUUUCAACAACGGAUCUCUUGGUUCUGGCAUCGAUGAAGAACGCAGCGAAAUGCGAUAAGUAGUGUGAAUUGCAGAAUUCAGUGAAUCAUCGAAUCUUUGAACGCACAUUGCGCCCUUUGGUAUUCCAAAGGGCAUGCCUGUUCGAGCGUCAUUUGUACCCUCAAGCUUUGCUUGGUGUUGGGCGUCUUGUCUCUAGCUUUGCUGGAGACUCGCCUUAAAGUAAUUGGCAGCCGGCCUACUGGUUUCGGAGCGCAGCACAAGUCGCACUCUCUAUCAGCAAAGGUCUAGCAUCCAUUAAGCCUUUUUUCAACUUUUGACCUCGGAUCAGGUAGGGAUACCCGCUGAACUUAAGCAUAUCAAUAAGCGGAGGAAA
rnacentral:rRNA from 1 species